GGCAUGUUGACGUUUUGAGCAAAAGCACAAGGCUGAAGCAUCAGCAGCUAACUGCCAUUGCCGCCUGGUCACGAUAGAAGCAAAGAAACUUGGGUUACAAACGUGUGUUCUGAAGUUUUUCUCCGAAAUGGAGCAGAAACAGAGCAUAGAGCAAUUCACAGGCCGAGCUCGGCUACCAAACUUUGCAAUCCCAAGGCGCUAUGAUCUUCAUCUCAAGCUUGAUCUCUCAGCAUGCACGUACUCCGGCACCGUGCAGAUUAACGUUAGCAUUGUUGAAGAGACCAAGUUUCUUGUCUUGAAUGCUCUUGAACUUGAUGUUCAUGAAGUUUGCUUCACCAACUCUCAUGGACAAUACCGCCCAAGUGAUGUUGUUUUGGAUGGUGAUGAAGAAUUUCUUGUUUUGGUGUUUAAUCAAGCACUUGGUGUUGGUGAAGGAGUUUUGGGGAUUGGGUUUUCUGCGGUCCUUAAUGCGCACUUGAAAGGCUUCUAUAAAUGCACUUACUUGGAUGGAGGAGAGAAAAAAGAAUAUGGCCGUCACUCAAUUUGAACCUGUGGAUGCAAGGCGAUGCUUCCCAUGUUGGGAUGAACCUGCACUCAAGGCCACCUUCAAGAUUGCAGUAGAUGUACCAUCAGAGCUGACAGCUUUGUCCAAUAUGCCAAUUAUCAGUGAAAAGCUUGAUGCAAAUGUUAAGACUGUUUAUUUUGAGGAAUCUCCUAUUAUGUCAACUUAUUUAGUAGCUGUUGUUGUUGGCCUAUUUGAACAUAUUGAAGAUACAACAUCUGAUGGGGUAAAGGUUCGUGCAUAUUGCCCUGUUGGGAAGAGUGACAAAGGGGAGUUUGCUUUAAAUCUUGCUGUUAAGACGCUUGAUCUUUUCUCCAAAUACUUCUCAACGCCUUACUCACUUCCCAAACUUGAUAUGGUUGCGGUUCCUGAAUUUUCUGGUGGGGCCAUGGAGAAUUAUGGUUUGAUCACAUACCGUGAAAAUGAAAUGCUUUAUGAUCAUUUGCAUUCCACAACAGCAAGGAAGCAAAGAAUGGCAAUUGUUGUAGCACAUGAAGUAGCAUAUCAGUGGUUCGGCAAUCUGGUAACAAUGGAAUGGUGGACUGAUUUAUGGCUUAAUGAGGGUUUUGCGACUUGGGUAAGUUACAUGGCCACUGAUAUUUUAUUUCCUGAGUGGAAAAUAUGGUCUCAAUUUCUUCAACAAACUACUGGUGGCCUAGUCAAGGAUGCACUGGAACAAUCGCAUCCAAUUGAGGUGGAGAUACACCAUGCUCGUUCAAUUCUUGAAGUUUUUGAUGAUAUCAGCUAUAAAAAGGGAUCUGCUGUUAUUCGAAUGCUGCAGAGUUAUCUUGGGGAUGACAUAUUCCAGAAAUCAUUAAGUUCCUACAUAAAAAGAUAUUCUGGAAAAAAUGCGAAGACGGAAGAUUUAUGGAGUGUUCUUUCGGAGGAAUCUGGUGUCAAAGUCAGCGAAAUAAUGGAUGCUUGGACAAAGGAAAAAGGAUAUCCUGUUAUAUCUGUAAAAGCCAAGGAGCAUAUUUUGGAAUUUGAGCAGACACAGUUCCUGUCAUCCGGUUUGCAAGGUGAUGGGAAUUGGAUUGUUCCAAUAAAUUUUUCACUUGGUUCGUACGACAGACACAAGAGUUUCCUUUUGGAAACAAAGUCCAGAGAAGUGGACAUUUCAGAUCUUGUUGAUUCCUUUGAUAAUGAACAACUGUGGGUGAAGAUUAAUAUCGACCAGAGUGGUUUCUAUAGGGUCAUUUAUGAAGAUAAGCUUGCAGCUCGACUUAGGAAGGCUAUUGAGCAUAAUAGCUUGGAAGCAACAGACAAGUUUGGCAUUCUGGAUGAUGCAUAUGCUCUCUGUGAAGCUUGUGAACAAUCACUUUCCUCUUUGUUUUCCUUGAUGGAUGUAUACAGAAAAGAAGUUAAUUAUAUUGUCUUAACAAAAUUGAUCGACGUUUGUUAUAAUGUCGUCAAAAUCUCAAGUGAGGCCAUCCCAGAUUCAGCAAAUGAUUUGAAACAAUUUUUCAUCAAUCUCCUUCUGUUUCCAGCAGAAAAACUGGGUUGGGAAUCAAUACCUGGAGAGGAUCAUUUCAGUGCACUUCUGAGAGCAGAAAUCUUGCAGGCCUUGGUUAUCUUUGGCCACAAUCAAACGCAGAAAGAAGCAUUAGACCGUUUUCAGACAUUAUUGAAUGAUAGAAACACUCCACUUCUUUCAGCUGACACAAAAGGGGCUGCGUACAUUGCCGUGAUGAGGAAUGCUAGCAUCUCAAAUAGGAAAGGUUUUGAGUCUCUUUUAAAUGCUUACAGAGAAGCCAAUACAGUGCAAGAGAAGGAAAGGAUUCUACGUUUGUUAGCAUCUUCUCCGGACCCGGAUACAGUUAUUGAGGUUCUGAACUUUUUCUUAUCGGAUGAGGUUCGAGAUCAGGAUGGAUAUGUUUACAAUUUGAAGAGUUCAAAUUUUUGGUUAUGAACGCAGGAGAACUGGGACCUGAUCUUGAGCAAAUAUGGUGCUGGAAUGCUACUCACCCAUUUUGUACGAGACAUUGUGACACCGUUAUGUAGCAAUGAAAAGGCUGAUGAGGUGGAAGAAUUUUUCGCGGGCCGUGUGCAUCCUGCGAUUUCUAUGACUUUGAAGCAAAGCAUUGCACAGGUCCGAAUCAAGGCGAGGUGGGUUGAACACAUAAGGCAACAACAAUCUGUGCAAGAGCUAGUCAAAGAAUUAGCAGGCAAGAAAUGA